rnacentral:rRNA from 1 species
AUUGAACGCUGGCGGAAUGCUUUACACAUGCAAGUCGAACGGCAGCAUAGGUGCUUGCACCUGAUGGUGAGUGGCGAACGGGUGAGUAAUACAUCGGAACGUGCCCAGUCGUGGGGGAUAACGUAGCGAAAGUUACGCUAAUACCGCAUACGAUCUACGGAUGAAAGCGGGGGACCGUAAGGCCUCGCGCGAUUGGAGCGGCCGAUGUUAGAUUAGGUAGUUGGUGGGGUAAAGGCUCACCAAGCCGACGAUCUAUAGCUGGUCUGAGAGGAUGAUCAGCCACACUGGGACUGAGACACGGCCCAGACUCCUACGGGAGGCAGCAGUGGGGAAUUUUGGACAAUGGGCGCAAGCCUGAUCCAGCCAUUCCGCGUGCAGGACGAAGGCCUUCGGGUUGUAAACUGCUUUUGUACAGAACGAAAAGCUCUGAGUUAAUACCUCGGGGUCAUGACGGUACUGUAAGAAUAAGCACCGGCUAACUACGUG